AAGACUCUACUUUCAGGGAUCAUUUCUAUAGUUUAUUACUAGGGAAGUUUCUCCGAAUGUGUAGAGCAAAAAAAGUAAAU
ensembl:snoRNA U3 Small nucleolar RNA U3